rnacentral:rRNA from 1 species
UCCUACGGGGGGCAGCAGUAGGGAAUCUUCCACAAUGGACGAAAGUCUGAUGGAGCAACGCCGCGUGAGUGAAGAAGGGUUUCGGCUCGUAAAGCUCUGUUGGUAGUGAAGAAAGAUAGAGGUAGUAACUGGCCUUUAUUUGACGGUAAUUACUUAGAAAGUCACGGCUAACUACGUGCCAGCAGCCGCGGUAAUACGUAGGUGGCAAGCGUUGUCCGGAUUUAUUGGGCGUAAAGGGAGUGGCGGCGGGUU